UCUUUCACUUCUUUUGUUCUUUCUUGUUUAGGACUUAGCUUGAUGCAGGUUGGGACUAAGCCUGCAAGCUGUCUGCUGGAUUUUUUUGUCAGUUCCACAGCUGCAGUAAGAGCUGUAAAAUGAUCAAACAUAUCAAAUUUUUUGCAGUGUCCGCAAAGACUGCUGAAGCUCACAGCUCUUGGAAAGGCUUUCAACGACCCUGGAAGCCCUGAAGAUCCUUGAAUGGAACUAGGCUUUUAGACUGAACUGCAGAAAACCUCAGUUCCUGCAAAGCCACUGAAACCUGAAAGUGCCUUUUUUGCUGACUGCUCCAGACUCUCAGAUUCUGGGAGCCUGUCUCAUGGCUUCAAGCCACAACAAAACAGCAUAAUCCACCUGGAUGUUUUAACAAAGCUGGCUGUUUAGAAGUCACAAGGCCUAGGAAGACUGUCAUAUUCAGCUCUAGAGGUUUCCUCCUUACAACAGGAUGUUUGGGCAAAAUUUCUGCAGCUCAGAUGUUUUGGAAUUCCCUUUUCCUGUAGAUAUUUGAAUUGGAUGACUACUCAAAUUACACAGCAUGUGGGUCUCUGAACUGGUCUGAAUUAGUGGGAAUGUGGGCAGAACUCUGCACUUAUGUUUUUGCUCAAAGUUAAUUUGCACAGCUUUUAUCUUCCUGAGAUCUUUGCCGAAUUUAGGUUUUAGGAUCACAGCUAAUCCUGGAAAUAAUUUCCAGGUACAGUGAAGAUGACAAAAUCAUAGGAGUAGUCAGCAAGGCAUCACCAAGUGGAAGUCGUGCUUGCCCAACAUCUGUGGUGAAGUGGCUGACCUCUUGGAUGAGAGGGAGGCAGAGGGUAUUGCCUGAACUUCAGUGAGACCUGCGGUGAUGCCUCCCAUUAGACCCUCACAGAGAAGAUUUUGAUGUACAGACUGGGGGAGGUGACAGUGAGUUGAAAACUGGCUGAAUUUCUGGGUCUAGGGAGUGGUGAUUUACAAAUCUAGUUGGAGACAGCGGCUAGCAGAGUUCCUCAGUGACCAGUACUGGAUCCAGUCCUGUUAAACCUCUGGGUGAUGGGGCAGAGUGUAGCCUCAGCUGGUUUGCUGGUGAUACCAAACUGGGAGGAGUGGCUGUUACACCAAGGGUCAUGCUGCCAUCCAGAGUGACCUCAGCAGGUUGGAGAAAUGGGUCAACAGGAAUGUCAUGAGGUUCAACAAAGGGAAUUGUGAAGUCUCAGACACCUGGGGGGGAUCACCCCCCAUGCACCAGUGGAUGAUGGUGGCCUCCUCAGUUGAAAGAAGUUUGCCAGAAAAGGACCUGGAAGUCCUGGUGGACACCAGGUUCAACACAAAUCUCUCAGUAUCUAAGUAAACAUCUGUACAGAUUCCAUUUAGAUAUCUCUUAUAAAGCCCACAUUUUUUUAUAAAGUAGGUGUAAAUUGACCUGAGGGCCAUCAUUCAGUCCCCAAACCUAGUUAAUACUGUACUGCAUCUUGGGUUUCAUAUCCAGCUCUUCUGAAUUGGCUGUUAAGUCCUCCUAUAAGUUUUUAGAAGAAAGGACCUUUUCUUAAUAAAAAAAUACUGAUCUGAAAAUGUUUCAUAAUAUUUUUAGGGUAGAAUAGCUUCACCUGGGCAUGUUCCAAGGAAACUUUUCUUGGACGAGUUUCACUUUUUAAAGUGAAGAAUUGCAGUGCAAAUCUGUUUCAUCAUCUCAAAUUUAAAGACCAUUUACAUAAAGAUAAUCAGGGAAAGGACAGAGUGAUCAGGAUUGCAAGUGUCUGAAAAUAAAGAUAAGGCCAGAUCUAGAUCUACUGGUGUGAGCUUUCUGUGUGGUGCAUCUCAGACGACGGAAAGCAGCUGUAAAGUGGUACAGACAGCAUUUGUGAUUCACUGCAUCAGUGGAGCAAUGCCAACGAGUUCUGGUGUGUCAACAAAUCCAGGGCAAAGUGGCAGCUGCAUCCUCUUAGACAGAUAAAGCUUCUUCUGCUGCAAGUAGUGUGAAGGAAACAUUUGCAUGUACAUAGAAGGGCGUUUGUUUGCAUGUGUACAUGCAUGGGUGUUUACACGUACACACGCACAAUUCCGGGAGUGUGGUGGGCCUGGUAACACCAUCUGGUGUUAAAUUUACCCAUCAUCUCUGCUGAUAAGAGCAGUUGCCUACAGUCUUGCUAAAUGUUAGUCAGAAAGCUGAAGUCCUCCACAUCAUCAAUAACCCUUUUUGGACUCAGGCGGAACAAGGGAGGAAAAUUACAAACAAAACAAAACAAAAUCCAGAUGCACAUAUUAGGUAAAAAAUUCUGGUGUGUCUGGGCAUGUGGAGGAUAGACUGGAACAAAUUGUCUCUAAGUAGAUGCUGGGACUGGGAGGUUGUGUAAAAUGAACAAAGUACCACGAAGGGAUGGAGAUUCAGGGAGUGGGACAGUUUGGAAAAUUGUUGCAAGUACAUUUGUUGGGGUACAUGGGGGGCAGCAUGAGAAUCUGGACUAUAUAUUGAUAGGAUGGUUUAGGCCUGCAGAUAAAAUGGAAUAAGAUCUAACAUAAAGGCACAAAAAAGAAAGAUCUUAGGGCAGUAGGGAAAAAGACAGUCAUAGCAGGGGUUCAGGCAAAAAGAUUGGCCCAAAAGACCAGGAAGGAGAAGGAAGUGUGGGGGUAGGUCAGUAGUGGAUGGGCCUAUGGUGCAAUAACAGCCUUCAGUUGGGUUCAGAUAUGUGAGAAUGUACAAAAAGAGAGAAGUCUCAAGGAAGAGUAAAGACAAAA